rnacentral:rRNA from 1 species
UACGUAGGGUGCAAGCGUUGUUCGGAAUUACUGGGCGUAAAGAGUGCGUAGGCGGUGCUCUAAGUCUGUUGUGAAAUCUCCCGGCUUAACUGGGAGGGUGCGGUGGAAACUGGGGUGCUUGAGUGUGGGAGAGGUAAGCGGAAUUCCUGGUGUAGCGGUGAAAUGCGUAGAUAUCAGGAGGAACACCGGUGGUGUAGACGGCUUACUGGACCACGACUGACACUGAGGCACGAAAGCGUGGGUAGCAAACAGG